ACGGAAGGCAGCAGUGGGGGAUAUUGCACAAUGGAGGAAACUCUGAUGCAGCAACGCCGCGUGAGGGAAGAAGGUUUUCGGAUUGUAAACCUCUGUUUUUAGUGACGAAGAAGUGGCGGUAGCUAAAGAGGAAGCCACGGCUAACUACGUGCCAGCAGCCGCGGUAAUACGUAGGUGGCAAGCGUUGUCCGGAAUUACUGGGCGUAAAGGGUGCGCAGGCGGGACUGCAAGUUGGAUGUGAAAUACCGAGGCUUAACCUCGGAGCUGCAUCCAAAACUGUGGUUCUUGAGUGGAGUAGAGGUAAGCGGAAUUCCGAGUGUAGCGGUGAAAUGCGUAGAUAUUCGGAGGAACACCAGUGGCGAAGGCGGCUUACUGGGCUCUAACUGACGCUGAGGCACGAAAGUGUGGGUAGCAAACAGGAUAGAUACCCUGGUA
rnacentral:rRNA from 1 species